rnacentral:rRNA from 1 species
CCUAGCUAGCCGCGGUAAUACGGAGGGUGCGAGCGUUAAUCGGAAUUACUGGGCGUAAAGCGCAUGCAGGCGGCCUGUUAAGUCAGAUGUGAAAGCCCGGGGCUUAACCUCGGAAUUGCAUUUGAAACUGGCAGGCUAGAGUCUUGUAGAGGGGGGUAGAAUUUCAGGUGUAGCGGUGAAAAUGCGUAGAGAUCUGAAGGAAUACCAGUGGCGAAGGCGGCCCCCCUGGACAAAGACUGACGCUCAGAUGCGAAAAGCGUGGGGGAGCAAACAGGAUUAGAUACCCUGGUAG